rnacentral:rRNA from 1 species
CCUACGGGAGGCAGCAGUGGGGAAUUUUGGACAAUGGGCGAAAGCCUGAUCCAGCAAUGCCGCGUGAGUGAAGAAGGCCUUCGGGUUGUAAAGCUCUUUUGUCAGGGAAGAAACGGUGAGAGCUAAUAUCUCUUGCUAAUGACGGUACCUGAAGAAUAAGCACCGGCUAACUACGUGCCAGCAGCCGCGGUAAUACGUAGGGUGCAAGCGUUAAUCGGAAUUACUGGGCGUAAAGCGUGCGCAGGCGGUUUUGUAAGUCUGAUGUGAAAUCCCCGGGCUCAACCUGGGAAUUGCAUUGGAGACUGCAAGGCUAGAAUCUGGCAGAGGGGGGUAGAAUUCCACGUGUAGCAGUGAAAUGCGUAGAUAUGUGGAGGAACACCGAUGGCGAAGGCAGCCCCCUGGGUCAAGAUUGACGCUCAUGCACGAAAGCGUGGGGAGCAAACAGGAUUAGAUACCCUGGUAGUCCACGCCCUAAACGAUGUCUACUAGUUGUCGGGUCUUAAUUGACUUGGUAACGCAGCUAACGCGUGAAGUAGACCGCCUGGGGAGGUACGGUCGCGAGAGUUAAACGUUAAAGUUAGUAAGUUAGUACGGACGUGAGACGUUGCCGACGGACGACGACGAGGGGAGGAGGGAG